rnacentral:rRNA from 1 species
GACGAACGCUGGCGGCGUGCUUAACACAUGCAAGUCGAACGAAGUGGCGAACGGGUGAGUAACGCGUAAUCAACUUGCCCUUCAGAGGGGGACAACAGUUGGAAACGACUGCUAAUACCGCAUACUGAAGGAGGGGAUUGCGUCUGAUUAGCUAGUGGGAGGGGUAACGUCCCACCAAGGCGAUGAUCAGGAGCCGGGCUGAGGGGGUGGACGGCCACAAUGGGACUGGUACACGGCCCAGGCUCCUACGGGAGGCAGCAGUGGGGAAUCUUCCGAAAUGGACGAAAGUCUGGCGGAGCAACGCCGCGUGAGUGAUGACGGCCUUCGGGUUGUAAAGCUCUGUUAAUCGGGACGCGGUACCGGAAUAGAAAGCCACGGCUAACUACGUGCCAGCAGCCGCGGUAAUAC